ensembl:snoRNA snoRNA:U49:66Da snoRNA:U49:66Da
UGCACAUGAUGAUAAUUUGUCUUCUUGAUAGGAAGUGCCAACUGACACAUAAAUGAAGCUAGUUUAACCCUCUGAAAGCA